GACGAACGCUGGCGGCGUGCUUAACACAUGCAAGUCGAACGGUAAGGCCCUUCGGGGUACACGAGUGGCGAACGGGUGAGUAACACGUGGGUGAUCCGCCCUGCACUUCGGGAUAAGCCUGGGAAACUGGGUCUAAUACCGGAUAGGACUCCUGCCUGCAUGGGUGGGGGUGGAAAGCUUUUGCGGUGUGGGAUGGGCCCGCGGCCGAUCAGCUUGUUGGUGGGGUGAUGGCCUACCAAGGCGACGACGGGGAGCCGGCCUGAGAGGGUGACCGGCCACACUGGGACUGAGAUACGGCCCAGACUCCUACGGGAGGCAGCAGUGGGGAAUAUUGCACAAUGGGCGCAAGCCUGAUGCAGCGACGCCGCGUGAGGGAUGACGGCCUUCGGGUUGUAAACCUCUUUCAGCACAGACGAAGCGCAAGUGACGGUAUGUGCAGAAGAAGGACCGGCCAACUACGUGCCAGCAGCCGCAGUAA
rnacentral:rRNA from 1 species